GCAUGGGUUGGAUUGGUGGCAGGCCUGUCCCCAUGGGCCUCUCAUAGAGGGUCUCACGCCGGAGCAAACAGUGGCACCGAACCAUUGCCUGGCCUCUACCUGUGGGCUGCUGCCACUGAGAGGGGUUUCACAGAG
ensembl:snoRNA predicted gene, 22748